CAGCAGCCGCGGGAAUACGUAGGGUGCGAGCGUUAAUCGGAAUUACUGGGCGUAAAGCGUGCGCAGGUGGUUUUGUAAGACAGGCGUGAAAUCCCCGGGCUCAACCUGGGAAUGGCGCUUGUGACUGCAAAGCUAGAGUGCGGCAGAGGGGGAUGGAAUUCCGCGUGUAGCAGUGGAAUGCGUAGAUAUGCGGAGGAACACCGAUGGCGAAGGCAAUCCCCUGGGCCUGCACUGACGCUCAUGCACGAAAGCGUGGGGAGCAAACAGGAUUAGAUACCCCCGUAGUCCCUGUCUCUUAUAC
rnacentral:rRNA from 1 species